rnacentral:rRNA from 1 species
AUUGACCGCUGGCGGCAGUCCUAACACAUGCAAGUCGAACGAGCGGCGGACUGGUGUGUAAUGUAUGGGAAUCUGCCUGAUCUAGGGUGAUAACUACUGGAAACGGUGGCUAAUACCGCAUACUAUCGUAUGGACCCAUAUGGGGUUAGCUAUUUGGUGGGGUAACGGCUCACCUAGGCGACGAUCCCUAGCUGGUCUGAGAGGAUGAUUAGCAACACUGGGACUGAGAGACGGACCAGACUCCUACGGGAGGCAGCAGUGGGGAAUAUUGCACAAUGGGCGCAAGCCUGAUGCAGACAUGCCGCGUGUAUGAAGAAGGCCUUAGGGUUGUAAAGUACUUUCAGCGGGGAGGCGUUACCCGCAGAAGAAGCACCGGCUAACUCCGUGCCAGCAGCCGCGGGAAUUC